rnacentral:rRNA from 1 species
GUGGGGAAUAUUGGACAAUGGGCGAAAGCCUGAUCCAGCCAUGCCGCGUGUGUGAAGAAGGUCUUCGGAUUGUAAAGCACUUUAAGUUGGGAGGAAGGGCAGUAAGUUAAUACCUUGCUGUUUUGACGUUACCGACAGAAUAAGCACCGGCUAACUUCGUGCCAGCAGCCGCGGUAAUACGAAGGGUGCAAGCGUUAAUCGGAAUUACUGGGCGUAAAGCGCGCGUAGGUGGUUCAGCAAGUUGAAGGUGAAAUCCCCGGGCUCAACCUGGGAACUGCCUCCAAAACUACUGAGCUAGAGUACGGUAGAGGGUAGUGGAAUUUCCUGUGUAGCGAUGAAAUGCGUAGAUAUAGGAAGGAACACCAGUGGCGAAGGCGACUACCUGGACUGAUACUGACACUGAGGUGCGAAAGCGUGGGGAGCAAACAGGAUUAGAAACCCGUGUAGUCC